rnacentral:rRNA from 1 species
CGCGUAGGCGGUCGCCUAAGUCGGACGUGAAAUCCCCAAGCUUAACUUGGGAACUGCGUCUGAUACUGGGUGACUUGAGUUCGGGAGAGGAAUGUGGAAUUCCAGGUGUAGCGGUGAAAUGCGUAGAUAUCUGGAGGAACACCGGUGGCGAAGGCGGCAUUCUGGACCGAAACUGACGCUGAGGCGCGAAAGCCAGGGGAGCAAACG